UUGAAUUAAACACCUUGAUGCCUACACGUUCAUUUCCACAGAAAGAUAGUAGCAAAGUUGUGUUAAAAUUGGGAUCACUUCUAUAACUGCAUAAAAAACAACAAAAAAUAGAAAAAAAAGCUAUUCGUUUAGAUAUUCAGAAACUAUAAAAAAAUUAAAAGCUUACAAAACUGAGAGAUAGAAGCCUACAAAACUGUCUCUCGAACAAAAAACGGAACUGAACAGCAAAUGAAAAAUACAAAAAAAUCGAAAAAUUAACAACAACUGAGAGAAAUCCAGGAUCUUCGUUAUCCAUAGUGUUAUGCACAUGUCAAACGAAACAUCUGGAUAGCGUGGUGGUUGUGCUGUUGCUGCCAAGCCAUUGGCAUGCCACAAAAAAAAUCCAAAACAUCAAAAAUACAAAAAAAAUCGUACAAUAACAAAACAAAUAGGAAUCCAAUAUCUUCGUUAUCUAUAGUGUCAUGGCAUCUAUUCAAUGAAACAUAUGGACACUGUAUAAAAUAGUAUGACAGUAGUGUAUGACGAUCAUCUAUAAUAUAUCAAAAGUAAAAAU